rnacentral:rRNA from 1 species
UACGUAGGGGGCAAGCGUUGUCCGGAUUCAUUGGGCGUAAAGAGCGUGUAGGCGGCCUGGAAGGUCAGCUGUGAAAACUCGAGGCUCAACCUCGAGACGUCGGUUGAAACCACCUGGCUAGAGUCCGGAAGAGGAGAGUGGAAUUCCCGGUGUAGCGGUGAAAUGCGCAGAUAUCGGGAAGAACACCCGUGGCGAAGGCGGCUCUCUGGGACGGUACUGACGCUGAGACGCGAAAGCGUGGGGAGCGAACAGG